rnacentral:rRNA from 1 species
GACGAACGCUGGCGGCGUGCUUAACACAUGCAAGUCGAACGGAAAGGCCCUGCUUUUGUGGGGUGCUCGAGUGGCGAACGGGUGAGUAACACGUGAGUAACCUGCCCUUGACUUUGGGAUAACUUCAGGAAACUGGGGCUAAUACCGGAUAGGAGCUCCUGCUGCAUGGUGGGGGUUGGAAAGUUUCGGCGGUUGGGGAUGGACUCGCGGCUUAUCAGCUUGUUGGUGGGGUAGUGGCUUACCAAGGCUUUGACGGGUAGCCGGCCUGAGAGGGUGACCGGCGACAUUGGGACUGAGAUACGGACCAGACUCCUACGGGAGGCAGCAGUGGGGAAUAUUGCACAGUGGGCGGGAGCCUGAUGCAGCAACGCCGCGUGCGGGAUGACGGCCUUCGGGUUGUAAACCGCUUUCGCCUGUGACGAAGCGUGAGUGACGGUAAUGGGUAAAGAAGCACCGGCUAACUACGUG